rnacentral:rRNA from 1 species
UACAGAGGGUGCAAGCGUUAAUCGGAGUUACUGGGCGUAAAGGGCGCGUAGGUGGUCUUAUAAGUGAGAUGUGAAAUCCCUGGGCUUAACCUAGGAACUGCAUCUUAUACUGUAGGACUGGAGUACUGUAGAGGGUAGUGGAAUUUCCGGUGUAGCGGUGAAAUGCGUAGAGAUCGGAAGGAACACCAGUGGCGAAGGCGGCUACCUGGACAGAUACUGACACUGAGGCGCGAAAGCGUGGGGAGCAAACAGG